GACAGAGGGUGCAAACGUUGUUCGGAUUUACUGGGCGUAAAGCGCGUGUAGGCGGCUUUGCAAGUCGGAUGUGAAAGCCCACGGCUCAACCGUGGAAGUGCAUCCGAAACUGCAUGGCUUGAGUCUCGGAGAGGAAGGUGGAAUGCUUGGUGUAGAGGUGAAAUUCGUAGAUAUCAAGCAGAACACCUGCGGCGAAGGCGGCCUUCUGGACCAUGACUGACGCUGAGACGCGAAAGCGUGGGGAGCAAACAGG
rnacentral:rRNA from 1 species